UGAGGUUUUUUUUUACUUUUGUUGUGAAUGUUUAAAUGUGAAUCAUUUAUCAGAAAAAUAGAAUACUUAAAAAGUAUCGGCAAUGAAGAGGAGGUGAGAAACUACAAAGCGACGGACAAACGCCUCCUGGAUGAACUGGAUCGGGAUGUAGGGGAGGCAAGCUGGAAGGACUGGAAACAAAAGUUUCCACCGGAGUUGGUGCAGAAGAUGUACGGCAAAGGGAAGUAUUCUGAGAACACUGCAGGAUUACUUCGCUUCAUACGCAACCUCCUUGAACACUACCCUGAGGAUGCGGAGCACAUUGAUUUGAUAGCCACAUUUCCUGAUAUCUUCGGAGGUGUCUACGUUUUUGCCAAAAACAAAGGUUGGAACGACAGGGUCAGCCUGAGAAGGAUGUUUCAAGAGGAGGAUGAGGACAUCACAUCCGGUGGUGUGAUGAACACACUCAGCCUGGAGGACCAGGCUCCAGGCUUCUCUGUGCCUGUCCAGGAGUCAGGAGGACCCCCCCAUUCAGUCACCUUCAUACCAUGAAUGUCAGUGUCUGAAUGGGGUGGGGGGACGCUGUGAAGCAUGGAUGUGAGUUCCAUCAUAGAAAACGUCUCCUAUCUGCGGCAUUAUAUAAAAGCACCCAUCUGUCUAAAUCCAUGCGAUUCUAAUUUUUUUUUUCUUCAUACCCUGAAUUUGUCAAUCAAUAGACCGAGUUCAGUAUUCAGAUUUUAUUUGAUCUUUUGUGACAUCGCUCAUCCGAUUUUCUUAUGGACACGGAAGCUGUUUGGUUUGCUUGCUGUUGAAGGCUGAACACAGACUACACACAGGACAAGGUGUUGAUGCCUGUGCUGGAGUCAGGAGGACUGUGACAGAACCACAGCUGUGGGUUAGAUCAGAGGAAAGGUCACCUAUCUCCAGCAGGAGACAAUAUCUGUCUUAAUACAUAGGGCUAAUUUUUUCCUUCUUAAUAUACUGAGUAUGUUAAUCAGUUGAGUUUUUUAAUCAACAUCUAUUUCUGAUGUUCUCUACAGUGAGAACUAUUUAUGUAGCUGGUUCCAAAUGUAUUUUUUUGUAUAAGAACAAGCUGUUUGAUUGCUUACAGAUUCAUAAUUGUACUCUUGUAUUGUGUGACUUUGUAAAGUUUCUUUGAGUACAUUGACAAGCUCUGAAUGGAAAAUAAUAACAAUGUCGUGUUUUUAGUAUUUUUUUACAUUAUUAUAUACUUUGUAUGUAAAGCUUCCCCUUUAAGGAGGAGCAUGUUUGUAGUCGUGAAGGCUUCCUAUUCCGGCCCCUUAGCGGGUAGCGAGGCACCCAUCACCAGAUAGCUAUACACUCUUAUCUUGACUGAAGUAACGCUAGGUAGCUUCAAUGACGAGGCAGCACGACGUCUGGGGUCAACUUGCACUUGUACGUCCAUUUAUUGAAGGUGUAGCAUUCCCUUGUGUCCAAGUUGUUUCUGAUAGUGUGAAACUUUAAAUAUACCAAUGCAAAAAUGACUAUGAAAUAAAAUAAAUAGAUAUUAUGAAAUUCAAGCAUAAAUAAUUCCUAUAAAUAUUGAACUAAUAAAUCACAAACAAAGCUUCUCCAAGGCUUCAACGGGCAGAUGGAGCCAAAUGAAAAGAGGGAUCUUGAACUUAGCUGGCCUUACAGGGACAUGGCUGUUUACCUCUUUACUAAUCAAUAAACUAACAACAUGGGACUUUAAACAACCAAUGAGAACGCAAACAUCAAAAUACACAAGAAUAGUAUGAAUUCUACUCAGUGGCCCACAGGAGGCUCCAGAACCCCUUAAACAGAAUGCAUGUAACAUUACACUUCCCCUUUAAGGAGGAGCUCACACACCUGAGAAACGAAACCUGUCGUCGAGAAAAAGUUACACGUUGGCGAACCUGAGGUUCACUAACUUUACUUUAGACUGAGCUGAGGUUCACUUUCCAUUGCUCUGCUGUUUUCUCAUUAGAAUUAAUUAAACUUUGAUUCGUUGUUUCAUCAGACUAAACUAAACGUGGAAUGUUUUCUCGGUCUCGUCUUGAACCAUUUAACCGAAGUUCUCCAUGACAUUGAAAUCCAAUAGUAUCCAACUGCAGCCCCGGAGAACAACACCCUGCCAUGACAGAACACCCAGGCAUGACAGAAGUACUGUGGCUGGACGGAAGACAAAUACCGGUAAACGUAUUUAUCGCUUGAAUUAACAAAACAUAGAAAUAAAAAAAUAUUUCGACACGUUAGUAACCACUUUUAGAGCUUAAUAAAGGUUUAACGUUAUUUAGACAAAUACCUCAGGAUCUUUUCUUUGCGUCCUUAAACUUAUGAGACCAAAACAUUAGAAUAAAGCAAUAUUAUGACAUGUCAGUAAGCUUUUUUUUUUAGCUUAAUUUUAUUAACGUUAUAUGGACGAAAAAACUGAUUUAGGGUGUAGACAAUUAUUUAAUGGAAUUGUGUAUUAUACACUUUACUCAUUAAGUAAUUGUCCAUUAGAAUUAAGUCAUUAGAAUUAAGUAAUUGUUUUAAUAUGUCUAAUUGAAUCAAAUUAUUUUUUUUGUAAAGUAUACCAUCAUAAUUUGAUAUAAAUAUACAUUGAAGAAUAACCACACCAAAGUUUCCUCACAAUUUAUUUAACAAAUAAUCUACAGAAGCCAAAAGAUAUAGCUUCUUCAUGCUGACUGCCAUCAGCUUCAACUCACUGUCAAAAGAAUCAAACAGUCAAAUCAAUAUUAAGCCUAUACAAUAUAUUAUUUGUAUUUUGUCAAUGGAAACGUUAUUCACUUCUCUUUUUCGCUUCAGUCUGAAGACUGGUGGAAUAAAUAUACAUUGAAGAAUAACCACACCAAAGUUUCCUCACAAUUUAUUUAACAAAUAAUCUACAGAAGCCCACGGGACCUUGACCCGUGGGCUUGUAUGGGUCAAGGUCUGGUCCGACCCAUACAAGCCCACCAGCAAGUGACCUCCGACCUGACAACGGAGGAUGGAGGGUCACCUGACCUGAACUGUGUGUGCGUGGGAAUAUUUUUCAUUUGUAACUUUAUUCUAUGAAUAAACUCAAAAUCAUACCAAUAGUGGUGUUGCUGUUUUAUUUCAGCCUGUAAAAUUGCUGAACAGCAAUCUCGGAUUAGCAAUUUGAAAUCAAAUUUGGAUUUAGAGUUUAUAUCUUUAUUUGAAGAUGAGCCCAAAAAUCUAGUAAUAGAUACAGUUGUGUUUAUAGAUCUUGACCGAAGUUCAACUCGUAUGAAAUCGCCUUCCUCGCCACCAAAAAUAUACUGCAUAACGUUGCAGUAUAUGUGUAACGUUGCUAUUGUAGUGACCAUGGUAGUGACUACAUUAUAGGUUCGUGUUCCCCUCUUACGGAUCGAGUGGGAGGGAACUGGUUAGGAGUCACGGGGCUAGGGGGACGCUUUAGAGUGUUGCACUAGAGUACGUACCAUGCACUGUGACUGAUUGUUCUGUUCUGCUUUAUUGGAAUAAACAGUUAUAAUUAAGUUGCCUACGUCCUCCUUUUCCUCCGGCACUACACUAUACUAGUUUUAUUUAUACAUAUGCGUUUGAAUACAGUUUUCUGCUAAUAGAGCCCAGCCGAAAUUCACCUCGAAUCUAUUUGCGUUCCUGGCCACAAAAAAUAUAUAUAUACUGCGUGCAGUUCAUGUUUUGUCCACCAGACGGCAGGGGUUGACUGACUGUGAUUAUUGGCGUUCGGGAAUGUUUUUAAUUUAUAACUUUAGGCUAUAUGAAUAAAAUCAAUACUUUAAAAACAGCGGCGUUGCUGUUGUAUUUUCGGCUUUAAUGUGUAGUUAUAUGUUUUUAGAGCUUAACCGAAGUUCUCCUCGUAUGUAAUUUGGCCACAAAAAAUAUACUGCCCGCAGUUCUCGUUUUGUCCAUCAGAGGGCAGGCGUUGACCGACUGUGAAACAUAGCGUGUGUGGGAAUGUCUUUUAAGUUGUAACAUUAUUCCAUUAACGAAGUCAAAAUCUUAACUUGCUGUUUGGUUUAUUUAAUUUCAUAAAUAGUAUUUCAUGGAACACCAAUCUCGAAACGUAUGCUAUGACAACGACCUACCUAUGGGGACGAUAUAUCCGGGGCACCGGUAGUGCCGGAUAUCAGGGGCUAGAAUUCCUCAUCCGUCGGCGUGUAAUUGUUUACAGUCCGACGAGCAACUUUAAACGCAAGUAUUGAGUUGCAGCAUCUAUUAUUAUU